CUAUCGCUCUUGGUCUCCUUUGCAAAUUGCAAUCGCAUGUCAGUUUCCAGCGAGCGCUGCUGGGUUCGGGCUCCGGCUGCUGGAGUCUAGCGAGAGGAGGGUUUUAGGGGCUCCCCCCCCUUUUCUUAAAAUCCGAUGCAUGCAUUUGAUCCCGAUGACUGUCGGCUGCGUGGGGGGCUCUGUCUUUCCAGAGCCCCCCAAUACACUAAAGCCUGGGCGGGUUGAGGAGGAGGAGGAAGAGAGGAAGCUAAAGGGGGGAGCCCAUUUUCUUCCUUGCAGACGGAUCGCUGGCUGGAUUGCAAUUUGCAAAGGGAGCAUGAUUCAAAGACGAGACAGAGGGGGCUGCAAAAGUAGAGGAGUCCCCGAUAGAAGUGUAGCUUGUGUUAACGGCAGUGGUAGGAAUUGGUGAAGGCUAGUGUGCUUCUGGGACUGGGGCUUUUGCCCGCCUGCACCAGGAGGGAUCGUCCACCUCCGCCAGCCUGGAGCAUCAUCUACACGUCUCCCCAGGCAGCUGCGGCCACCUGGCUUCUGAGGCCAGCCUGUGAGUACUGAAACGCGAGUGCACAUAACAUCUUCCCUUUGCGAGGCUGUGACAGGUCCCUCUGCUGCAGCUGCCUUCUGAACCCCUUACCGGGGCUCCAUCCCCUCCCCUGGGGCCGUGCAGAUCCCCUU
rnacentral:lncRNA from 1 species